GGCGGCGUGCCUAAUACAUGCAAGUCGAACGCACUGACGUCGACAGAAGGUGCUUGCACUGGAAGUUGAUUGACGUGAGUGGCGGACGGGUGAGUAACACGUGGGUAACCUGCCCUUAAGCGGGGGAUAACAUUUGGAAACAGAUGCUAAUACCGCAUAAAAGUUGAGAUCACAUGGUCUUAAUUUGAAAGACGGCCUUUGGCUGUCACUUAAGGAUGGACCCGCGGCGUAUUAGCUAGUUGGUGAGAUAAUAGCCCACCAAGGCGAUGAUACGUAGCCGACCUGAGAGGGUAAUCGGCCACAUUGGGACUGAGACACGGCCCAAACUCCUACGGGAGGCAGCAGUAGGGAAUCUUCCACAAUGGACGAAAGUCUGAUGGAGCAACGCCGCGUGAGUGAAGAAGGUUUUCGGAUCGUAAAACUCUGUUGUUGGAGAAGAACAGGGACUAGAGUAACUGUUAGUCCUUUGACGGUAUCCAACCAGAAAGCCACGGCUAACUACGUGCCAGCAGCCGCGGUAAUACGUAGGUGGCAAGCGUUGUCCGGAUUUAUUGGGCGUAAAGCGAGCGCAGGCGGUUUCUUAAGUCUGAUGUGAAAGCCUUCGGCUUAACCGAAGAAGUGCAUCAGAUACUGGGAAACUUGAGUGCAGAAGAGGAAAGUGGAACUCCAUGUGUAGCGGUGAAAUGCGUAGAUAUAUGGAAGAACACCAGUGGCGAAGGCGGCUUUCUGGUCUGUAACUGACGCUGAGGCUCGAAAGUAUGGGGAGCGAACAGGAUUAGAUACCCUGGUAGUCCAUACCGUAAACGAUGAAUGCUAAGUGUUGGAGGGUUUCCGCCCUUCAGUGCUGCAGCUAACGCAUUAAGCAUUCCGCCUGGGGAGUACGACCGCAAGGUUGAAACUCAAAGGAAUUGACGGGGGCCCGCACAAGCGGUGGAGCAUGUGGUUUAAUUCGAAGCUACGCGAAGAACCUUACCAGGUCUUGACAUCUAGCGCCAAUCCUAGAGAUAGGACGUUCCCUUCGGGGACGCUAAGACAGGUGGUGCAUGGUUGUCGUCAGCUCGUGUCGUGAGAUGUUGGGUUAAGUCCCGCAACGAGCGCAACCCUUAUGAUUAGUUGCCAGCAUUUAGUUGGGCACUCUAAUCAGACUGCCGGUGACAAACCGGAGGAAGGUGGGGA
rnacentral:rRNA from 1 species